rnacentral:rRNA from 1 species
GAGAAAGUAAGCAAGGGCAGACGGUGGAUGCCUUGGCUCUCGGAGGCGACGAAGGACGUGAUAAGCUGCGAAAAGCUCGGGGGAGGCGCAAAUAGCCGUUGAUCCCGGGAUAUCCGAAUGGGGCAACCCGGCAGGCUGAAGGCCUGUCAUCCCGUAAGGGAGGCGAACGUGGGGAACUGAAACAUCUAAGUACCCAUAGGAGGAGAAAAUAAACAAUGAUUCCGUAAGUAGUGGCGAGCGAACACGGAAGAGCCCAAACCCGUGGCGUCUAGGCGACACGGGGGUUGUAGGACCACGACGUGGCAAGAAAGCAGGGAAAUGGAAGCGCUUGGAAAAGCGCGCCAUAGACGGUGAAAGCCCGGUACAUGACUCCCUGCCGAAGCCUAGUGGCAUCCUGAGUAGCGCGGGGCACGAGAAAUCUUGCGUGAAACAGCGGGGCCCAUCCCGUAAGGCUAAAUACUCCCGAGAGACCGAUAGCGAACCAGUACCGUGAGGGAAAGGUGAAAAGAACCCCGAGCAGGGGAGUGAAAUAGACCCUGAACCCGUCUGCCUACAAGCGGUCGGAGCAUCGUCAAGAUGUGACGGCGUGCCUUUUGCAUAAUGAACCUACGAGUUACCUUCCCCGGCAAGGUUAAGUACCUAAGGUACGGAGCCGAAGCGAAAGCGAGUCUGAAGAGGGCGGCCAGUCGGGGGGGGUAGACGCGAAACCGAGUGAUCUACCCUUGGCCAGGUUGAAGGUUGGGUAACACCAACUGGAGGACCGGAUGGGUAAGCGUUGAAAAGCUUUCCAAUGAGCUGAGGGUAGGGGUGAAAGGCUAAUCAAACUCGGAGAUAGCUCGUACUCCCCGAAAUGCAUUUAGGUGCAGCCUCUUUAUAGUAUAUCGUGAGGUAGAGCGACUGAUUGGAUGCGAGGGCUUCACCGCCUAUCAAGUCCAGAUAAACUCCGAAUGCGCGAUAUAUAUUUAAAGGGAGUGAGGGCGCGGGUGCUAAGGUCCGUGUCCGAGAGGAGAAGAAUCCAGACCACCGGCUAAGGCCCCCAAAUGAUCGUUGAGUUGAACUAACGAGGUCGGAUCGCAGAGACAGCUAGGAUGUUGGCUUGGAAGCAGCCAUUCAUUUAAAGAGUGCGUAACAGCUCACUAGUCGAGCGAUCUGGCGUGGAUAAUAAUCGGGCAUAAACGAUCUGCCGAAGCCGUGGAUGUCGUAAGACAUGGUAGGGGAGCAUUCCAUGCUGCGUCGAAGAUGAGGGAUGACCCUUGUUGGAGCGCAUGGAAAAGCAAAUGUAGGUAUGAGUAACGAUAAGGGGGGCGAGAAACCCCCCCGCCGAAAGACCAAGGUUUCCUGAUCAACGCUAAUCGGAUCAGGGUGAGUCGGGACCUAAGGCAAAGCCGAACGGCGCCGCCGAUGGAAGAAUGGGUUAAUAUUCCCAUACUGCCUCAUGGAGUGACGUGGAGACGGAGAAGUGACAGUCCUGCCGGCUGACGGAAUAGCCGGUUGAAGGGUGUAGAUAUUGAUUCCCGUAGGCAAAUCCGCGGGGAGAUCCGAACCUGAGAGUAUACUGAGCGCUUGCGCGACGUAAUAUGGACGUAACCAUGCUCCCAAGAAAAUCCGCUAAACUUAUCCAUGCGGCACCCGUACCGUAAACGGACACACGUGGUCGGGUUGAGAAUACUGAGGCGCUCGAGUGAUUCACGGUUAAGGAACUAGGCAAAUUGACCCUGUAACUUCGGGAUAAAGGGUCCUCGUCGUAAGGCGAGGCGCAGAGAAUAGGUCCAGGCAACUGUUUAACAAAAACACAUGGCUAUGCUAAAUGGAAACAUGACGUAUAUAGCCUGACACCUGCCCGGUGCUGGAAGGUUAAGAGGAGAUGUCAUCCGUAAGGAGAAGCGUUGAAUUGAAGCCCCAGUAAACGGCGGCCGUAACUAUAACGGUCCUAAGGUAGCGAAAUUCCUUGUCGGGUAAGUUCCGACCUGCACGAAUGGUGUAAUGAUCUGGACACUGUCUCAACCGUGAGCUCGGUGAAAUUGUAGUAUCGGUGAAGAUGCCGAUUACCCGCGAUGGGACGAAAAGACCCCGUGAACCUUUACUAUAGCUUUACAUUGAAUUUGGGCAGACGAUGUGUAGGAUAGGCCGGAGGCUUUGAAGGGGGUACGCCAGUAUCCUUGGAGCCGCCGUUGAAAUACGGCCCUUCGGUUGUUUGAGUUCUAACUCCCGGAUGGGAGGACACUGUAUGGUGGGUAGUUUGACUGGGGUGGUCGCCUCCAAAAGCGUAACGGAGGCUUCUAAAGGUGCCCUCAGACCGAUUGGUAACCGGUCGCAGAGUGUAAUGGCAUAAGGGCGCUUGACUGGGAGAGAUACAACUCGAUCAGGUAGGAAACUAGAGCAUAGUGAUCCGGUGGUUCCGCAUGGAAGGGCCAUCGCUCAAAGGAUAAAAGGUACUCCGGGGAUAACAGGCUGAUCAUUCCCAAGAGCUCAUAUCGACGGAAUGGUUUGGCACCUCGAUGUCGGCUCGUCACAUCCUGGGGCUGGAGAAGGUCCCAAGGGUUGGGCUGUUCGCCCAUUAAAGUGGCACGCGAGCUGGGUUCAGAACGUCGUGAGACAGUUCGGUCUCUAUCUAUCGUGGGCGCAGGAGAUUUGAGGGGCUCUGACACUAGUACGAGAGGACCGUGUUGGACGUACCACUGGUUUACCGGUUGUCCCGCCAGGGGCACCGCCGGGUAUCUAAGUACGGAUCGGAUAAGUGCUGAAAGCAUCUAAGUACGAAGCCGGCCUCAAGAUUAGAUCUCCCUGAAGGGUGGUUAUAGACGAUGACCUUGAUAGGCCACAGGUGUAAGGGCGGCGACGUCCGAGCCGAGUGGUACUAAUAGCCCGUGACUUUCCUCA